AUAAUUAGGUUAUUUAUUGUGAUCUUGAAUGAAGGGUUUGACGUAGGAAAUUCUUUCUUAUUGUUAUAUAUGAAAUUGAAUUACUAGUAAUAAUGCUAGUUUUAUUUAUUAAACGAGAAGACCCUAUUAAGUUUGAUAUAUGUUGUUUUGUUUUUUAGAUUUAUUUAGAUAAAUUUAUAUUUUGCUGGGGCGGUUAAUUUUAAAUUUACAUUAUUAGUAUCUUAUUAUAUAAAAUUAUUGAUCCAUUAUUAGUGAUUAUUAGAUUAAAUUACUAUAGGGAUAACAGCAUAAUUGUAUUGAAGAGUUCUUAUUGAUAAUACAGUUUAUGACCUCGAUGUUGAAUCAAGAAUUUCUUGAAGGUGUAGAUGUUUUUUUAGAUAGUCUGUUCGACUAUUAAUAUUUUACG
rnacentral:rRNA from 1 species